GACGAACGCUGGCGGCGUGCUUAACACAUGCAAGUCGAACGAAGAGCGACGGAAGCUUGUUUCUAUCAAUCUUAGUGGCGAACGGGUGAGUAACGCGUAAUCAACCUGCCCUUCAGAGGGGGACAACAGUUGGAAACGACUGCUAAUACCGCAUACGAUCUAAUCUCGGCAUCGAGGAUGGAUGAAAGGUGGCCUCUACAUGUAAGCUAUCACUGAAGGAGGGGAUUGCGUCUGAUUAGCUAGUUGGAGGGGUAACGGCCCACCAAGGCGAUGAUCAGUAGCCGGUCUGAGAGGAUGAACGGCCACAUUGGGACUGAGACACGGCCCAGACUCCUACGGGAGGCAGCAGUGGGGAAUCUUCCGCAAUGGACGAAAGUCUGACGGAGCAACGCCGCGUGAGUGAUGACGGCCUUCGGGUUGUAAAGCUCUGUUAAUCGGGACGAAAGGCCUUCUUGCGAAUAAGUGAGA
rnacentral:rRNA from 1 species